rnacentral:lncRNA from 1 species
CAUAUACAUUUACAUUUUUAUUUUCCUACUUCCAGUCUCCCAUUCUCCAUUCAUUUAAACACUUGGAGAAAAACAGAGAAAUGCAAGAUUUUUGUUCAGCCAUUAUAGCCCAGAUGCAUUACGUGUAUUAAUAUUACCUAAAUAAAUUCUCAAAGCAACUCUGAUACAAAAGCAACCUGAAUUUUUCAGGUGAGGAAAUUGAGGCACAAGAAGAAUGAGAAACAUGCUCCUUCAUAUCAUUAAUGAGUUUACGAUUUGGAAAUAGGAAUCAGCUUCAUGUGACUCCAAUAAUGGUGAUAUCUUCUACUGAUACAAUCUUAUUUUAAAAUCUCUGAUAAAAAUUUAUUUCCUUGAUUUAAAAAUCUGAUGACUCUUAACUCCUUAUUGUUAUAAAGUUAAAAAUUCUUAGCAUGACAUUUAAUAUCCUCCUUAAUCCAGCUCCCUCUGUAUUUCUCGAGUUGUCUCACUACUUUUCUUCUCUUGUCUUUUAUCUAUUCAAUAUGGACUAUUUUCCUAAACAAGACUAGUUGUACCCCCCUUUAACAAUCUGUGCUGUUCAUUCCCACUGAAAUUAUUUUCUCUUCCUUUAUACAUAUUUCUUGAUAUUUUAUAUCAAUCAAGUCCUAGGAUCAAUGCCACCUCCUCCAUGAAGCCUUUCCUCAUCUCUCUUAGCCAAGCCAACUAUUGCUGCAUCUCUUGUUUGAAACUUAUGCAAUCUGAUCCUAUGCUAUAGUUAUUUGUGCAUCUGUCUUAACUCCUUUAUCAAAUUCUUGGAAAAAAAGAAACUCAUAUUUUCCACAGUGCUUCAUGUAGCUCUUGAUACACAGUAGAUGUUCAAUAAUUAUCUCCAAUGAAUGAAUGAAAGUGAUUGACAAAUGAAGAGAAACUUUAGAUUUUGUGCUGUGUUAGUGGGGUUCUUUUUUUGUUGGUUCUCAUAGAAAUUUUCAGAACUGCUAAAAUGAGAGUUGCUCACAUUAGAAUCUCCAAAUGUGAUUCUCAGGAUAGGUCUGGAAUAGUAAUAGGUAAAACAACCCACUUGUACACGCAUGGAAACAUUCCAAAAUGUCACAGAUCCUGGAUUUAAAAACAAUGACGAUUACAUUAAUAUGGAAAACACAUGCCGUAAUUAAGGAUGUAUAUGCAUGUGUGCAUGCACUAUCUUAGACUUUUUUAUUGGAUUGACAUAGCUACUUACCAAAGAAUAGAACCAUUUGUGACACAGAAUGUUAGGAUAAUUUGUCAGUAACACAUGCAUUGCUACAAGUUAUAACAGUAAAAAAAAUAUUAUAAAUUAAGGCACCCAUGGGUCAUUCAACUCGGCUGGCAAUACACCUGAACAAAAAAGGAGUGCUGGACUUAAUCUCCAAGUCUGUCAUUUAUUUCUUUCGCACAAAAAGUAUGGGACACAGGUGGUCAGAAGUCAAAGAUCAUACUCUGCUUGAACGCUCCAUAAGGCACAGUGCAAAUGUAUGAGACCUGCUGGGUGAAAUCAAAAAGUCACUGGAAUGGGGUGCAAUUUUAGUGACCCAGGUCAAAGGUCAUACUGCUUUUGGUGUUAUACAAAUGUUUGACAGAUUAAAUACCCACCUCCUAGGGAUAACAAAUAGGCCAUGGAGCUAAAAGUAUUCAUAAGCGUUAAAGCUUCAUUCAGAAUUCUCCUUAUGAAGGAUGUAGGUCAUAUAAGAUUAGUAAUAUGGUUAUAAUAAUUUUUCCCAUUGUUGAAAAAUUAUGCCCUGGCUGAUAUCUCUGAGUGUAAUUGCAGAUGUAGAAAAAAGAAAAAAAAAGUGAAGAAAAGCAACAAUGACUAGAAAUAUUGAAGAUUAGAAAAAGAGAAAAAAAGCAACAGUUAUGUCCAGACCUUUCUUUUCUUGAAAUAUAGCAAUACCUGUUAAAGCAUUUUUUCAUAUUUUGUCACUUUUUUUUCUUGCAUGCAGGGUCAUUUUAUCACUAAUCCAUGUAAAUUAUUUUGCUGAUAUUCAGCAUUUUGCAUAGUUGAAUACCUCUAGGAAGUUAAUAUGUUUAUAAAGAUAUGUUUGGCAAGUAAUCUGGGGGUGUUACCAGGACAAUGAAAUAAGUAAUGUAUGGAAAAGUGCUGUAUGCAUAUUGUAAAAUCCUCUGAAAUUAGGGCAGUAUUAUUAUUUAACACAGUUAUUCUUUAUCCUUAUUUGAACUCUUGGAAAAAUAUGUACACAAAAUUAGUUUCUGUUGUAAUGUGCUUCUAUAUUUUGUAGUACUCUUUUACAAUUUGAAAAUAAUAAUUUACCUUCCUUUGUAGUUUUAUCUAAGUAAAUGGUGCAAAUUAUGGUGACUCAGAAUCACCUGGAGGGCUUGUUAAACCAUAGAUUGCCGGGCUCCACCCUACAGUUUCUGAUUCAUUAGGUCUGGGUGGGUCUAAGAACUAGUAUUUCUAACAAGUGCCUGCAAGAUACUGAUGAAUCUAGGCUAGAGACUGUACUUUGGAAACCACUGAUUUAAGCAUUGUGCCAUGAUAGUAGCCUAAAGAGUGAACUAAUUCACUUAAUAAUCUAGAUCUGUUCAAAUAUGAUAAUAUUUUAUGUAUUUUAUGACUUGUCAAUGUAAUGAUAAUACUUUAUUUAGUUUUCACUUUCAUCUGGAUACUUUAUAAAAAUGUAGAUUCAGAAUUUGUCUUUCUUCCCAAGCUACGUAUCAACAUCAACAUUGUUUUCUUUAAUAGUUGCUCUUAGAAGAUCCCAAAACCAUUUUUUUAAAGAGUAUUAAUUAAUUUACUUGAAACUUGUUAAAUUCACUAUCAAUAUCAUUGUCAUUGUUCUUUGACAUUAGAGAUAAUGAUGAUCACAUUUCUACCAGAAAGAAUGUCACUAGAAUCUCCAGGCAUUUAUUUUAUGAAUUAAAUCAUGUUUGUCUGCCUAUACACUUACAUAUUAACUGCUGUUUCAGGAUUUUACUGUGUGUAACUUCUUUUUUUAUUGUAAGUGGUAAAAGCUACCUCUGUCUCCAAUGUUUUUAUUUUAUAUUUGUUAUUAUCUGCUUUUUUCUCAGAGGGCAAUGCCUUUGUCACAUAGAUUUUAUAUCUUUUAACAGUAAUCCCAAGUUACUCUGGUUUUAACAUAUAACAUGGAAAGGGCUUAGAGAAAUGAUGCCAAAGUAAUUUACCUCUUAUAUGCACCUGGAGAGGUGAGACGCAUUGAAUCUAUUGUCAGUAGUAGACUUUGUAUACCAAAGUAACUUAUUUAUGUUGUUUUAUACCAAGAGGUAGACAGAAAGAUGGUGGACAUGUAGGGAUAUAGGAUGUGAAUGAGACACAAAACCCUUAGCAACACAUCAAAAUGCUACAGGUGGUAUUAAUAUUGGUUUAGUUUGCUAUUGAUUUUUCCCUCAUUUUCUCCUCUGGUUAUGUAGUUUACUUUGAGGCCAUUUCUCUGUUGAUUUUUUUCCUAGGUCAUAAGAUAGAGGAAAGCACAUAAUAGCCUUGGUGACCAUAAUUUUUCAAUUUAUAGUAAUUCUCACCACACCUCAUUGUAGAUGAAAACUUCUAGUUAUUUCAAUCAUCAUUUCAAUAAUUCUUCAUGUUUAAGAUAUUGAUUUGUUAAAUUCUUCUAGACUUUUUACUUACACAAACACACACACACACACACACACACACACACACACACCCCAGUGCUUUCAGUCUUAAAAAAAGAAGCAGGAAAGGAUGACUAACAGGCAAGUCAAGAAAUAUGGUAAAUAUAAAAAUAUGUGCUAAAAGCACAUUGUGCUUAACUUUGCUUUUUAAUAAUCCCUUGGAAACCUAGACAUGACAUCCAUUAUUAGAUUUUCAAAUUUAUUUUUAUUUUUAGCAUAAUACGUAUAUUUAUGUAAAAUAUAGAGAUAAUACAAGUGAAUUUUCAUAUUGAGAAUAAAAUAAAAAUAUUGAGAAUAGAGACAAUAUAGAGAAAGCAUUAUGUAGGACAUUGGUAUGUGUAUGAGAAGUGGUAAAAACAAAACAAAACACAAAGUGCAGACGCAGUGUACAUUUUUUCUCUUCUGAAAUGUUAUCGAACAUGAUAAAUAUGACCACAAAUAUGAUAAAAAUGUUACUCUCCAAAAAUGUUAUCAAAUAAGACUCUGUAUGCCUCAGUUGCCUCAGACUCACUUUCUUCUACUGUAAAAUUCACAUUCAGAACCUUAUCCAUCCCGUCGAAACUGUAGGUGCAAUCUUAUAACUGUGUGUUAACAAAUCAGCUGACUUUAUUUGAAGAUUGCAUUUUUUAAUAAAUUUUUUUAUUUCAUCUUUACUGCUGCCAUGACAAUGAAUUUAUUAAAAUCUUCUCCCAAAUGAUUUAAAUUUCAGACUUAUCUAGUAUAUUGGAAAAAGUUUUUUUCUCAAUUAAAAAUUAUGAGAGAGGAGGAGGAAAGUGGUAAUGAUGUGCAGAGGUCUAUGUCUGUGUUUGUGUGUUUCUCUCCAUGUGUAAGUUUGAAUGUAUGUCCUCACACAUUCAAUACUAUUGAGAGAAAGUCAGGGGAUAAUUACUUGUGAGGAAAUUCCCAUAAUCUCAUGGGAAAGUCUAUCCUGAAAACAAAUGAUCCUUCUUCACCCAUACUAUUUAUUGAUACUGUGUAUUUAUGUUUAACUCUAAUAUACUUCCAUUGUUUAUAUUAUAGUUUAUUUCUUCCUCAGUCUUUUUAUUCAUUAGUCUAUAAGCCCUGAUUCAUUUUCUUCAGAAAAAUAAUCAAAUUCCAUACCAUACAUAUAGGACAUAUAGGGUCUAGGCAACAAAUUUUGAUGAACUAAAUUAUUAUCCCAUUUCAGUCUUACAGUUGUAUUCUCUAAAGGGGAAGAGAGUUUGGUAUUACAUAACUAGAUCUCUUUUCUCAGCCACAGAAAUAUGUAGAUGGGAUAAAGUAAAUAAUAGUAAUAAAUGACAUAUAAAAAUAAAUGCAAUAUUUGGCAAUAUUCACACCAAGAAAUUUAUCUGGAUUCACUCAUCUUCCUGCUUCCAGUCAUUUAAGCAAAUGGAGAUCUUUUUUAAAAAACUGAAAGUUGAUGUUAAAACUGACUCAAAAAUAGUGUAAUGGUAUCCAGGUUAAAUAUUCCUAAGACAAAAUAAGGCAUUGUUUUAUUCAGCACAUAACUUGAGUUGUAGCAGCUUCUAAUAAGGAAGUUCCCUGUGAAUGGCUGAAAGAGAUUUUUCAAUUGAUAUCCUUACAUAAAUCAGCUCUACAGAUAUUGAAUUAUACUUUUCAAAAUUAGGCUAAGAAAAUGAAAUCUUCCUAAGUAGUAAGUAUAUUGAUUAUUGUUUAUCUUAUGUAAUUUUCUGAAAUACUGCCAAAUAGGGUUUAAAGAUCUGAAUCUUUAGUUAUCUUUUCUUAUUUUUCUGCUUUUAUGGGUUGUUGCAAAAGAAUGCAUGCUUCACAGAGCUGAGGAAAACAGAAUUACGGUCACACCAAGCAAGGGCCAAGAUGUGGUCAAAACUUAGAGUUAGCACAGCCCGGAGUUGCCUAUCUCCAGGUGAAUUGUUGUCUAUGGGAUGCAUUUUCAAACGAUAAAGCUGAAGACACAGUCUACUUACAAAAUAUGAAAUUAACCUGGAGUUAUAUAAACAUGCCAAAAGAGGAAAGAAAUUUACACUGGAGCUGUAGCGAGACAUUGAGGUUUGGAAGCAGAAACAGAAUUAAUGUAGAGAGAAGAUGCCAUUGAUAGAACAGUCCACAUCAGAAAAUCUCUGCUCUUGACAGCAAGAAAAGUUCUCUAAAGUCCACAGAUACACAUUUUGGAUAUGCCACCUAGAGAUGAUGUAAGUGUUGUCAAGUUUCCUUUCCUGGAUUUUAUGUUCUUCAGGAUGAGAAACAGAAGUACAUAAUUUGGCAAAAAGAAAAGUGAUUCUCCUUUUGCCUAAGAGGCAAAUGUUUUAGUGAUGUGCACAAUGAAAACACUACAAAUUCCAACUGGUAUGUGAUGCUGUUCUAAAUGUGGGAGUGACAGAGAUGGAGUUGAGAUGUUGUUGAUCACAGCAGGAAAUGUCAUCAUAAGAAUUUUGUAAAUGAAGAUUUAAUAAGUUCAUGUGGAUAGACCACUUAGAACACUGCCUUCCACAGAGCAGAUCCGAGUUUUGCUGGAUACAAAAUUCUCGGUUGGCAGUUAUGCUGUUUAAGAAGGCUAAAGAUAGGACCACAAUCUCUUCUGGCUGGUAAAGUUUCUGCUGAGUACUUUUCUAUAUUUAUGAAAGAAAGUAAUAUAUUACCAUUAGAUGAAUUCUAAAAUUUGUCUCAAUUUUUAUACUAAAGAGUAUACUCUUUGUUUUAUAGAUGAAGAAGCUGAAAUCUAAAAUUGGUAGUGAAUUGUCCAAGGUCAGAUGCAUAAUAAAUGGCAGAAAUGUACUAAAAUCUAGAUUUUGAUUCCAUAACUAAUGUACCUUUCACAAUAGUUACUCACUUUGUUGCCUCGUAACAGUGGACACUUUAUAGCUCAUCACAAUGAAGAGUAAUUUGAACAUCCUUGGAUUUCCAAUUCUACUUUUUGACUCCAAUAGCAAUAAAAACUGAUAUCAUUUUAUAGUAAAAAACACUAUAGACAAAGUUCAUUGAGCCCUGAUAGCUCCUAUUUGUCAAUUUUAAUGUAGAUUUAUUAUGAAUAUGAUUGCCCUAAUGAAUAUCUGUUUAUUGUUGUCAAAGCCACAUAAUGAAGAACCUGUAAUGAUUUGGACAUUAAGCUGAGUCCAUGUUCAAUGAACAUGUCUAAUUUAUGUUAAUACAAACUGCAUCAGUAGAGUUGGAGCCAUGGAUUUUCGAUAAAGCAUGAACUAAAGCCAGUAUUUAAAUUUUUAAACAUAAUUUGUUUAUGUAAUUGUAUAAUGUGCCUUUUUCUUAUAAACUAUAACUAUUAACUUGUUCAUUUUUUGAAUGUAUACCUAAAAAAGCAUUUGCCACAUGCAAGACAGGAUUUGUAAGAAUAAUAUUAUUAAGUAUUAUUCUAAAGUUAUAUUUUACUACUCUUCCCAGUUUAAGGAUAUAGUGAGUACUAAUUUUUUUCCUGUAAAUUUUGUUUUAGCAUUUUGGGAUAUUUCUACUCACAAAUAUUUACUUCAAUAAUUAUGUCCUUAUGUAUUUUCUGUUAGUUUUCUGUGACUCAACUCUUUAAAUUUCUAAACUUAAGAACAUUUUGAGAAAACCACAAUUUUCAAUUUUAUAAAGAUAAGCACCUGCUUGUUUGUAAGCUUAUGAAAAUCUUAUACAAAACUUUUUGCUUGGCGGAGAUGUGGAGCAAGAUGGCAAGUAGAAUCCUUGACUGAUCAUUGUCCCUGUGGGAAUACCACAUUGAACAACACCCCCACACAGAAAAAAGCACUUUCAUAGGAACCAGAAAUCAGGUGAGUAGUCCGAGUACCUGGUUUUAACUUCAUAUCACUGAUAUAGUCACUUAAAAGAGUAAGAAAGAGAGUCUUGACUUACCAGUACCAAUCCUUUCCCAUCCCCCUGACAGUGGUUGAUUGUUGUGGAGACAGAAUCUUUGUGCUUGGGGAAGGGAGAGCACAAUGAUGGUGGGAUUUUGGCAUUGAAACUCAGAGUUGCCCUGUCAGAACAGUAGUACCAGGCAGAAUUCAGUUGUUUCCCACAGAAGGAGCAUUUAGACCAGUCCUAGCCAAAAGGGAAUCACCCAACUCAGUGGUCAGAAUUGAUUUCUAGGAAGCCUUGCCACAAUGUGCUAAAGUGUGCUGUGAUCCUAAAUAAACUUGCCAGGCAGUCUAUGCCACAAGGUCUGCAAUUCCUGGGAAAGUCCAGGUGCUAAGCUGGGCUCAGAGCCAGUGGUCUUGUGGGGCACAUAACCCAUUGAGACACCAGCUGGGACAGACAAGGGAGUUCUUGCACCACCCAUAACCCAACCCAAGGCAGUGCUGCUUGCAGCUCCAGGAGUUACUCUUGCCUUCUGCUUGAGGAACAGAGAAAGGAGAGUAAAAAGGGCUUUGUCUUACAACUUAGAAAUCAGCUUAAUCACAGUAGGAUAGGACACCAGGCAGAGUCCUGAGGCCCCGAUUCUAGGCCCUAGUUUAUUGGCAAUAUUUUUAUACACACACUGGGUCAGAAGGAAAUCUGCUGCCUUGAAGGGAAUUACCCAUCCCUGGCAGCAUCAUCGCUUACUAACUAAAGAGAUUUUGGGCCCUGAAUAAUCAGCAGCAGUACCCAGGAAGUACUCAUGGUAGUACUUGAGUGAGACUAAGAGACAUGCCAGAUUCAGAUGUGACACAGAACACUUUCAGCUGUAAUGGCUAUGGGGAGAGACGCCUGCUUGAGAAAAGAGGAGCAAGAGUAAAGGGGAAUUUGUCUUGAAGCUUAGGUAUCAGCUUGGCAACAGCGGGGUAGAGCAAAAAGGGAACUCUUGGGGUCUCUGAUUCCAGGACUUAGCUCUUGAGUGGCAUUUCUGGGCCACCUUGGACCAGAAGGGAGCCCACUUCCCUAAAAGGAGAGUACAAGGCCUGGCAACAUUCACCAUAAGCUUAACGAAGAGCCCUAUGGCCUUCAGUGGACAUUGGUGUUAGCCAGGAAUACUCACCAUAGCUCAGGGGCACUGGUGGUCAUGGAGAGAGACUCCUCUGCUUGUGAAAGUGGAGGGAAGAGUGGGAAAGAAUUUGUCUUAUGGCUUGGAUGCCAGCUCAGUUGCAGUAGAGUAGAAUGCCAGGUAGAGUCCUAAGAUUUCUGACUGCAGGCUCUGGCUCCCAGAUGGCAUCUCUGGACCUGCCCAGUGUCAGGAAGAACUUGUCACCCUGAAGGAAAGGAUACAAGCCUGGCUAGCUUUGCCACUUGGUGAUUGUAGCUUCCUCAGGCCUUGAACAAACAUAAGUGGUAGUGAGGCAGUGAUUACUGCAGACCUUAGGCAAGAACCUGUGCUGUGCUGGCUUCAGUUCUGACCCAGCACAGUCCCAGUGGUGGUGGUCACAGGGGUGCUUAUGAUACAACUCCACCAGCUCCAGGAAGCUCACCACAGACAGAGAGAGUCAAUUUUUUUUUUUUUUUUUUUUGUGCGGGGAGAAAGU